rnacentral:rRNA from 1 species
AUUGAACGCUGGCGGCAGGCUUAACACAUGCAAGUCGAGCGGAGACUUCGGUCUUAGCGGCGAACGGGUGAGUAAUACCUAGGAAUCUGCCUAUUAGUGGGGGAUAACGGCUCGAAAGGGUCGCUAAUACCGCAUACGUCCUACGGGAGAAAGUGGGGGAUCUUCGGACCUCACGCUAAUAGAUGAGCCUAGGCCGGAUUAGCUAGUUGGUAGGGUAAAGGCCUACCAAGGCGACGAUCCGUAGCUGGUCUGAGAGGAUGAUCAGCCACACUGGAACUGAGACACGGUCCAGACUCCUACGGGAGGCAGCAGUGGGGAAUAUUGGACAAUGGGGGGCAACCCUGAUCCAGCCAUGCCGCGUGUGUGAAGAAGG